rnacentral:rRNA from 1 species
AGUCACACAUUAGAUACCCCCGUAGUCCCAGCCGUAAACUAUGCGCGUUAGGUGUAUCGGUGACCACGAGUCACCGAGGUGCCGAAGGGAAACCGUGAAACGUGCCGCCUGGGAAGUACGGUCGCAAGGCUGAAACUUAAAGGAAUUGGCGGGGAGCACCACAACGGGUGGAGCCUGCGGUUUAAUUGGACUCAACGCCGGGAAGCUCACCGGAUAAGACAGCGGAAUGAUUGCCGGGCUGAAGACUCUGCAUGACUAGCUG